rnacentral:rRNA from 1 species
UUACGGCCACAUCAGGUUGAAACACCUGUUCCCGUACAAUGACCGAAGUUAAGCAACCUCGAGCCUGGUCAAUACCUAGAUAGGUGACCGCUUGGGAAUAACAAGUGCUGUAAG